rnacentral:rRNA from 1 species
CAGUCGUACCGGCGGAUAAUCAGCCUUUCGGGUGCGAUUCUGUGGGGCGUGAGGAGUUUAACCGCCUUCAUGGUUUGCAUAUUCGUGCUCUUGGGUGUACUUGCCCGUGUGGUAGGUUAACAUCAAUUUUGGUCGUCAUAAAAUGAUUGGAGGAAUGUAGCUUUGGUCUCGUAUCGAAGUGUUAUAGACUCUGGUAGAUGUGACGAUUGGGGAUUGAGGAUUGCAACGGAUACCCUUCGGGGCUACUCGUCUGAUCUCUGAAGGUUGCGUCCGGUGCUGAAGCGUGCUUACGGUCAU